GGCACCGUAGCUCAAACGGCAGAGCAGGGGAUUCAUAAUCCCCUGGUGCGGGUUCAAAUCCCGCCGGUGCCA
rnacentral:tRNA from 1 species